AUAAACAGAAGUGGAAGGCUCCACCAGACACAACAAUUUUUUUAUGGAGAAUCAAAAAUUCGCUCGUUGCCUAUUUCAAGGCUUGCAGUAUCAACAUUAUAAGGAGAAUUGCAUCAAUUUGACAACACGCUGCCCCACAAAAGCAAUUGAUUCGUCCUUGGAGGCAACAACUUUUGCCGCGAAAGUUAGAAGAGCCGAAUGAAUGUAAUAGCGCCUGCAGCAGAGCACUACCACCGACCACCGUCACGUGCAAUGGACUUAUAAUAUAAGCCUUAUAUUGUUCGUAUCAAACGCUUUCGUGUGAGAGAAUGUUCUCUGAAGUGACUUGAAUAUAAAGCAACAUUAGAAAUAGAUUUACGAACACAAAUGUAUUCAAUAUAUAUAUUCGCGAAAAUCGAA